AAUGGGCCAAAGCUGAUAGCCGAGGCCGGGCAGAAUUCGUAAAACAAACCAAAACCCGCUGGGCGAGUUGCCGGGACCAAUUCCGGCGGGAGAUUACCAGCAAAGGCCGGAGUGGGGAGGGAACCUCCAGGAAACGGGCCUACAUUUAUACUGCCCAGUUGCAGUUUUUAAGGCCAGUAAUGGAAUUGAGGCCUACUGUGGACAGUCUGGAUCC